rnacentral:lncRNA from 1 species
GGGAGGAGCGCGGCGGGCGCCAGCGCCCCCGUGUGGCCGCGAGCACCGAGUCCGUAAAGGGCGGGCAAGCGCCGCCCGGGGCGUGGGUAACCGGGCUGGCAUCAAGGUAGGGGGCGGCCGGGCCGGGAGGAGGGGCGGCCCCGCCAGCGCUGGACCCAGCCCUGAAGUCGUUCCGGCUGUGCAGAUGAUGAGCGACCCAGGUCGAGGCGAAUCGGCAGCAGGAGCCCAGCCUCCUACAGUGCUGGAAUGACAGGCCUGCACUACUGCACCCGGUCGAGCUGUUCUCUCUUGAAAGCCACCACACCGCCAUCCUUCCUAGUCUCACCACAGCUGCCCUGGAGAGGUACCUGCUGGGUUUUGGGUGGCCUCUGCCUCUGGUCUCUCUCCUGCCAGUCGCCCUACCAGAGGUGGGGAGCCCGUCCUGCCCUUUCAUCAGGGGAGGACGACGGUCACAACUGAACCCAAAACACAGGUAAUGCUGGAGAAGCACUUAGCGCAAGGCCUGACCUCUGGUGCCCUUAAUCUACAGUAGCAGCUGGCAAUGUGCAGGUCAAAUCUCAGAUGCUGUCUGGGUCCCUGUGGGUAUGGACUGGUACAGCAAGUGAAUGUGUGAUGAGAGCUUGAGAAAGCAGGCCUCCCCCCGGCCUCCUUCCUGACUGCCCCUCCUAUCUCAUGCUCAGCUUCCCUUCCACACCUGUACUCAGCCUAGCCCCCAGCCUGCGGUGCCCGCUCCCUUUCCCCAACCAAUCCAAAUCCACAUCCUGGCCAUCCUUCAAGUCCCACCUGCUCUGGGAGAGGCUGCCCUCACGUGUUGCACCCAUCGGCAAGGUAGGUGAUUAAAGAUGGGAAUGGACUGUACUGCUCAGCUGGCUGGAAACAGGGCUCGUCUAUGAGGAAAUGCAGACAGAAGACUCAACUCUGUCAGAGAGAAAGGAAGGCGCUGACUCAGUGGCUGAAAGGUUCAGAAGAAGAGUGAUUUUCAGACAAGAAAUUGCAUCCCCUGCCUAUCUUGGUCCAAUAACAAUCCUUCUUGUAAACAUGAACUGCUUUUCCUAGAAAGAACAACAAUAAUAUCCAAGCACUCUUGCC